rnacentral:rRNA from 1 species
GCACGAGAACGCUUCAGCUUGCUGAAGCUAGUAAAGUGGCGCACGGGUGAGUAACGCGUGGGUAAUCUACCUCCAAAUUGGGGAUAACAUUGCGAAAGCGAUGCUAAUACCGAAUAAUAUCUCAAGAACUUCGGCUUUUGAGAUCAAAGGUGGCCUCUCCAUGGAAGCUACUGUUAGGAGAUGAGCCCGCGUACCAUUAGCUUGUUGGUAGGGUAAUGGCCUACCAAGGCAACGAUGGUUAGCUGGUCUGAGAGGAUGAUCAGCCACACUGGAACUGACACACGGUCCAGACUCCUACGGGAGGCAGCAGUGAGGAAUUUUGCGCAAUGGGGGAAACCCUGACGCAGCAACGCCGCGUGAGUGAUGAAGGCUUUCGGGUCGUAAAGCUCUGUCAAGUGGGAAGAACCUGCCUAGUGCUAAUAUCACCGGGCACUGACGGUACCACUGAAGGAAGCACCGGCUAACUCCGUGCCAGCAGCCGCGGUAACACGGGGGGUGCAAGCGUUAUUCGGAAUCACUGGGCGUAAAGAGCGCGUAGGCGGUCUCUUAAGUCAGAUGUGAAAGCCCGGGGCUUAACCUCGGAAGUGCAUUUGAAACGAAGGGACUUGAGUAUGGGAGAGGGAAGUGGAAUUCCUGGUGUAGCGGUGAAAUGCGUAGAUAUCAGGAGGAACACCGGUGGCGAUGGCGACUUCCUGGACCAAUACUGACGCUGAGGCGCGAAGGCGUGGGGAGCAAACAGGAUUAGAUACCCUGGUAGUCCACGCAGUAAACGUUGAACACUACGUGUAGCGGGUAUUGACCCCUGCUGUGCCGCAGCUAACGCAUUAAGU